rnacentral:rRNA from 1 species
UACAGAGGGUGCAAGCGUUGUUCGGAAUUAUUGGGCGUAAAGAGCUCGUAGGCGGUUUGUCGCGUCUGCCGUGAAAGUCCGGGGCUCAACUCCGGAUCUGCGGUGGGUACGGGCAGACUAGAGUGAUGUAGGGGAGACUGGAAUUCCUGGUGUAGCGGUGAAAUGCGCAGAUAUCAGGAGGAACACCGGUGGCGAAGGCGGGUCUCUGGGCAACAACUGACGCUGAGGAGCGAAAGCGUGGGGAGCGAACAGG